rnacentral:sRNA from 1 species
GCAUGCACAAGAUUUUUACUGCACAGCUUAUUCAGUGAUUCAUUCAUACAUUCAUCAUCUACAGAAUCAAGCUGAAGAUGUGAAUAUUUGACCACUCAGAUCUCUACAGCUCAGAUAUCAUCAAUGUCUACACAGACUUAAAAUAAUUCUUUCAGAUGCUUGUGAGCUACACUAUAAUAAGUAAUGAGAAGCUGAGACUGAACAUCUUUAUUGCUAGAGAUGAAUACAGCAAUAAAUUAAUAAUCAUCAAAAAGUCUGAAAACUCAGAGCAAAAGAUGCUGUGGCUGAGUGAAAUGCUUUUCUUUCAACAUAUCAUUAUGUGUCAUGGAACAACAUGUUUUGUUGCAAACAAUGGA